GACGAACGCUGGCGGCGUGCUUAACACAUGCAAGUCGAACGGAAAGGCCUCUUUCGGGGGGUACUCGAGUGGCGAACGGGUGAGUAACACGUGAGUAACCUGCCCUUGACUUUGGGAUAACUUCAGGAAACUGAGGCUAAUACCGGAUAGGAGCUCCUGCUGCAUGGCGGGGGUUGGAAAGUUUCGGCGGUUGGGGAUGGACUCGCGGCUUAUCAGCUUGUUGGUGGGGUAGUGGCUUACCAAGGCUUUGACGGGUAGCCGGCCUGAGAGGGUGACCGGCCACAUUGGGACUGAGAUACGGCCCAGACUCCUACGGGAGGCAGCAGUGGGGAAUAUUGCACAAUGGGUGGAAGCCUGAUGCAGCAACGCCGUGUGCGGGAUGACGGCCUUCGGGUUGUAAACCGCUUUCGCUCAUGACGAAGCUUUGUGUGACGGUAGUGGGUAAAGAAGCACCGGCUAACUACGUG
rnacentral:rRNA from 1 species